AUAUAUUGCCUCAUAAAAGACCUGGAAAUCCUUCAAAUCUGCAAGUCGUGGUGGCCUCUGAAAGGUUGCAUGUUCCUCUUUCCUUUGAUGUCGUGUUCCCGUCCAACGUUGGCUACAUAUAUCGCCUUUUAAAAGACCUGGCAAGCCUUCAAAUCUUCAAGUCUUGGUGGCAUCUGAAAGGUCGCAAGUUUGUCUUUCCAUUAAUGUCGUGUUCCCGUCCAACGUUGGCUACAUAUAUCGCCUCAUAACAGAUGUGGAAAUCCUUCAAAUCUGCAAGACCUGGUAGCAUCUGAAAGGUCUUGUUCCUGUCCAACGUUGGCUACAUAUAUCGCCUCAUAACAGAUCUGGAAAUCCUCCAAAUCUGCAAGACCUGGUGGCAUAUCAAAGGUGGCAUGUUCCUCUUUCCUUUGAUGUCCUGUUCCCAUCCAACGUUGGUUACAUAUAUCGCCUAAAAAAAGACCUGGAAAUUGUUCAAAUCUGCAAGUCUUGGUGUCAUCUGAGAGGUCGCAUGUUCCUGUUUUCUUUGAUAAAGUUUCAUGCUCAAAUUAGGUGUAGUUAGGAAAAUAUUUGCAAACGAAGGCAGAAGUUCUUGUUUUGCUGCUUGGUGUUUUUAUAGAACUCCCACCUUGUCUGUACAUUACAGGUCUUGUUCCUGUCCAACGUUGGCUACAUAUAUCGCCUCGUAACAGAUCUGGAAAUCCUUCAAAUCUGCAAGACCUGGUGGCAUAUCAAAGGUGGCAUGUUCCUCUUUCCUUUGAUGAGGAGUACUAUCACCUCUUGGCUGAGAAGAUCUACAAGAUCCAGAAGGAGAUCCAGAAGGAGCUGUAGGAGAAGCAACAGAAGAGGAUGCAGGAUUCAGGAGGUAUUGAUGCUGCCGCUGGAGGCAUUCCCAUGACGGCAGCAGCGCUGCUGCCUCAGCCUCCCCACUAACUGCCCAGAUCAGUAUGUCCACUGGGAAAAUGUAGCUCUUUCAACCAACUUAUAUCAGAACUAUGCUGUACAAAACUAUAUGGUCUUGAAGGGUUAUUUUGGUGUCAGUGUUGCUUUGGCUCAGCAAUGGAAAGUGGACUGGUAGAAUGGGGCGUCAGGUUGGUUGUACGAUGUAAACAACAAAUAAAAGUGUAAUGCAAAUGUGAAUUUUAGGUUUUGAAACACAUUCCAUAUCUCAGUAUGUGGAAUGAAGAUGUCGAUUGUACCCAUAGUCAGUAAAUGUAACUAACUCAAGCUUUAAAUUGUAUAUCUAAUAUGAGCUUCACUCAUUAGGUGCUUCUGGAAAAUUUGUAUCUCUUUUUUUCCGCACACGGCUGUUCUUGCUUAUUGUCUUGAUCAGGACUUGAACAAAGCUUUUGCCACAAAUAAAUUAGAUUGCUAAUUUGAUAGACAAACUAACAGAUAUUUACAUGUAUGUACAUAGGGUCUGCUGCUUG